GCUUACGGCCAUACCACCCUGAGCAUGCCCGACCACGUCUGAUCUCGGAAGCUAAGCAGGGCUGUGCUUGGUUAGUACUUGGAUGGGAGACUUCCUUGGAAUACCUGGUGCUGUAAGCC
ensembl:rRNA 5S_rRNA 5S ribosomal RNA